rnacentral:tRNA from 1 species
AGUUAAUGAACUUGUAUAAGUGUAUAUUUUGAAAGUAUAAAAAAGGGUAAAAUCCCUAUUAACUU